rnacentral:lncRNA from 1 species
GUGCGCGUGUGCGUGCGUGCGCGCGCGCCUGUGCGUGUGUGUGUAGUCGUUUGUGCGCGUGUGCGUGCGUGCGUGCGCGCCUGUGUGUGUGUGAACGAUGCGGUCGUGCCAGUGCCAGCAUGCCGUCUGUCAGCAGCAUAAUUUUCUUUGCAUUCGGUUGUGGUGCUUGCAAAAGUUAAUCAUAGCAGUGGCAUUACGAUUAUUUUUCCACUGCUGUUUUUUGCAGCCUGCGGUGAGUCAGCAGCAUCUCAGCUGCUAACGUCGAUGUGCAGAGCUGAGCUGGAGGCCCCGCUGUCACCAGAGAGCCCGCUCUCUACCCACACUGGGCGGGUGUCUGCAGAAACGCAGCAUUCCGACACAGAUGAUGCUGCUGCGAUGGAAGACUCACAACGAGAGCUACCGCGAAAGCGGAAGAGGCAGCGCGUUAGGAACGCUCCGAAAGGAAUUCAAGGGCUUCAAGCCAUGGGCCUGGAGCUCCUAGCCCGACGUGAAGAUUAUGAAUUCACGUUGAAGAAGGAGCAGCUCGCUAUACAGAAACAACAACUAGAACUGGAGGAGAAAAAGUUGGCAUUAGAAGAAAGAAAAGUUGCCCUGGAGGAGGAAAACCAUAGGUUGCAAAUUCAAACUUUAAAACACCAACACAAUCAGCUGUUAGAGCGCAUGGAGCGCAUUGAGAAUAUUUUGAAGGACAAAUUUACUGGGCUGAAUGCUAUUUAAAUCAUUUCUUGUAAUCACACAUGCACAAGUCAAUUUAAUGGAGUUCUAGAACACACACGUGAAGUUAAUAUCCUAAACAUACCUAAACAGUUUGACGUAGCUUGCUCUUAGUCACGUUUGCUUGUUCAGUGAGGAUGGUAUUGGGUGAAUCACAUGGGUGAAGGCAGUUUUCAACUUGCCUUAGAACGACAGAAAGCUGAGCUAGUUGGUAAGGAUUCAUUGUGCAAACAAGAGGUGAGGUGCGUAGACAGGGCACAAGGGUAGAGAAGUGGACAACACGAACGCCGACUAUCAACUGAAGGGAGCACUCAGGCGAAAAAAGAAAGGACACAAAACUCAUCUGCUCAAGCUCUGGAAUGGUAUCGCCACGUGUCAGUCGGGUACGUAGACCGACACAUGUACCCGACGGACACGUGGUGAUACCAUUCCUGAGCUUGCGCAGAUGAGUUUUGUGUCUUCUUUCUUUUUUCGCCUCAGUGCUGCCUUCAGUUGAUAGUCGGCGUUCGUGUUGCCUCCACUUCUCUACUUUUGUGUCGUGUCUGCACGCCUCACCUCUUGUUUGCAUAAUUCAACUUGCCGUAUGUUUUUUGUAAGCGCCACUUUUUUGUUCUCAUUCCCGUUUGCUCAUUCCUCAAUAAAGACAAACUCAAUUUGCUUAGCUAUCUUGUGCUGUUUAUUAUGACUGCACCAAGUACUCAAUAAAAAAACUUGAACGUU